rnacentral:lncRNA from 1 species
GCUGCUCCAGCUGCCCCUUCUGCUGCUCCAGAUGUUUUAGUUGUCCGUCCUGCUGCUCUGGGUGCUCUAGGUGCUUUUCCUGCUGUUCCAGGUGCUUUGGCUGUCCUACCUGCUGCUCUGGGAGCUCCAGCUGUGCCUCCUGCUUCUCCAGGUGCUUCACCUGGCCCUCUUGCUGCUCUGGGAGCUCCAGUUGCUUCUCCUCCUGCUCCAGGUGCUUUGGCUGCCCCUGCUGCUUCUCUAGCUGCUUCAGCUGCAGCACCUGCUGCUCUGGGAGCCCCAGCUGCCCUUCCUGGUGCUCCAGGUGCUCCAGCUGCCCCUCCUGCUGCUCCAGGUGCUUCAGCUGCCCCAUCUGCUGCUCUGGGAGCUCUGGCUGCUUCUCCUGCUGAUCCAGGUGCUUCAGCUGCCCCUCCUGCUGUUCCAGGUACUUCAGCUGCCCCAUCUGCUCCUCUGGGACCUCCAGCUGCCCCUCCUGGUGCUCCAGGUGCUUCAGC